rnacentral:rRNA from 1 species
GGGGGGGGGGGGCGGCGUGGUUGGGGGGUGGGAGUCGAACGGUGAGGCGGUGCUUGCGGCGGGGGGUAGUGGCGAGCGGGUGGGUAAUACGUGAGUGACCUACGUUUGACUCUGGGAUAAGCCUGGGAAACUGGGUCUAAUACCGGAUACGACCAAUCUCUGCGUGGGGUGUUGGUGGAAAGCGUUAUGGAGUGGUUUUAGAUGGGCUCACGGCCUAUCAGCUUGUUGGUGAGGUAAUGGCUUACCAAGGCGACGACGGGUAGCCGGCCUGAGAGGGUGACCGGCCACACUGGGACUGAGACACGGCCCAGACUCCUACGGGAGGCAGCAGUGGGGAAUAUUGCACAAUGGGCGCAAGCCUGAUGCAGCGACGCCGCGUGAGGGAUGACGGCCUUCGGGUUGUAAACCUCUGUUAGCAUCGAAGAAGCGAAAGUGACGGUAGGUGCAGAGAAAGCGCCGGCUAACUACGUG